GCAAGAGGACGCGAUUCAGCGGAUUUUUCAACAUUUAUGUCCAACUUCGCUGACUGAUCAGCGGUGGUUUGUGAGCGUGGAGGGCCAGGUUGUCAGUGAGGGAGUGUCCUUUGUGCUGGGGCUUGCUGUUCUAAUGUCAACUUUCUACAACUUUAACCUGCAAUACCAGGACAAUGCUGCAUGCUCAUUGGAGUUCAUUCAGAGAAUCUGCAUGGGGAUUAAUCCUGAGAGAGGAUCAAAGGCAUACAGUGGACAGGCACCCAGCAGAAAAACUGGAAAGAUGGUCCAGAAGAAACCAUCAACAGUGAACCCGCAUGUCUGCACCCUAAUCAGGAAGCUCAACGACUUCAAGUGGGACUUUGUUUGAUCUUUUCUCAUAGUAUUAUAUUGUUUAAGCGCAGAUACCAUUUGUCGAUCAUCAAUGAACAAUAUAUGCCGAUAAAGGGCCAAUACUUAUUUUGUGUUGUUUAGUUUAGUUAUAUACAGCAGUUUCCCUGUUUGUAGUGUAUUGGGAUUGUGACUGGCAUAAUAGUGUGUGACUCCAUGGAGCUCAACAGUGACUUCUCACUUUUUUACGGUGGUUCGGGAACUUCUUUUUCCCCAGUUCAAGUGUUUCAUUGACGUUUCAAAAAUUGCUGAUAUAUAGAGUUUAUAGAGUUUUAACCCUGGAACUGAGCCAACCAGCUACAAGAUGAGUUACUAGUUUUGGUGAUUAUAAAA